rnacentral:rRNA from 1 species
AUUGAACGCUGGCGGCAGGCCUAACACAUGCAAGUCGAACGCGAGGCGGACGCGUGAGUCUUGUCUGGGAAACUGCCCGAUGUAGGGGGGUAACUACUGGAAACGGUAGCUAAUACCCCAUACCAUCUGAUGUCCCCAGAUGGGAUGAGCUUGUAGGUGAGGUAACGGCUCACCUAGGCGACGAUCCCUAGCUGGUCUGUGAGGAUGACCAGCCAAACUGGAACGGAGACACGGUCCAGACUCCUACGGGAGGCAGCAGUGGGGAAUAUUGGACAAUGGGCGAAAGCCUGAUGCAGCCAUGCCGCGUGUAUGAAGAAGGCCGUCGGGUUGUAAAGUACUUUCAGCGGGGAGGCGGUACCCGCAGAAGAAGCACCGGCUAACUCCGUGCCAGCAGCCGCGGUAAUUC